GAUGAACGCUGGCGGCGUGCCUAAUACAUGCAAGUCGAACGCUGGAAAUCUAGCUUGCUAGAUUGAAGGAGUGGCGAACGGGUGAGUAAUACAUAAGCAACCUACCCACGAAGACUGGGAUAAUCUCUGGAAACGGGGACUAAUACCGGAUAGGUAAUCGGAAGGCAUCUUCUGAUUAUUAACGGUUAAAAACACUGGUGGAUGGGCUUAUGGCGCAUUAGUUAGUUGGUGAGGUAACGGCCCACCAAGACGAUGAUGCGUAGCCGGCCUGAGAGGGUGAACGGCCACAUUGGGACUGAGACACGGCCCAGAAUGCUACGGGAGGCAGCAGUAGGGAAUGUUCGGCAAUGGGGGAAACCCUGACCGAGCAACGCCGCGUGAGUGAAGACGGCCUUCGGGUUGUAAAGCUCUGUUGUAAGGGAAGAACGGUAGAUAGAGAAUAUCUAAAUGACGGUACCUGACCAGAAAGCCACGGCUAACUACGUG
rnacentral:rRNA from 1 species